rnacentral:rRNA from 1 species
UCAGCAGCCGCGGUAAUACGGAGGGUGCAAGCGUUGUUCGGAAUUAUUGGGCGUAAAGGGCGCGUAGGUGGCUGUGUAAGUCAGAUGUGAAAUACCCCGGCUCAACCGGGAAACUGCAUCUGAUACUGCAUGGCUCGAGUACAGGAGAGGGAAACGGAAUUCCAGGUGUAGAGGUGAAAUUCGUAGAUAUCUGGAGGAACACCGGUGGCGAAGGCGGUUUCCUGGCCUGAUACUGACACUGAGGCGCGAAAGCGUGGGGAGCAAACAGGAUUAGAUACCCUGGUAGUCCACGCCGUAAACGGUGAGUACUGGGUGUGGGAGGUGUAAUGCCUUCUGUGCCGAAGCUAACGCGUUAAGUACUCCGCCUGGGGAAUACGGCCGCAAGGUUGAAACUUAAAGGAAUUGGCGGGGGAC